CAGCUUAUCUGACUAAACUGUUCCAGUAUUAAGUUCAAUAGUUAGCAAAUGGAAGAAGGUUCGAUGGAAAUUCCAACUGCUUCAACAUAUGAUAAAAAACAAGAUAAAGCUCCAAUGAAUUUGGGUGAUAAGGGAGAAACAAGUAAUCCGUUGGAGGAUCGGAUUAGUCAACUGCCUGAUGCGAUUCUGGUUGACAUCAUUUCCCCGUUGAGGAUUAAGGAAGUAGCAAGGACUAGUGUCCUCUCUAAGAGGUGGAGAUAUUUGUGGACACAUGUUACACGUCUCAACUUUGAUCAUCAUGAUGGUGAACAUCCACGUACCUCCACAAGGACCACAACAGUUAAUCCGUCAGAGAGACGUCGUCUAGAAGCGACCAACAGAAGACAACGAAUCCGGCAAUCGCACCAGGGUUUAACACCUUUAAACUUGGGUGAAUGCAGAGGUGGUUCUUCCUCAGCGGGUUCCGGUUCAAGAUCUAGGCACCCCGAUGGAAUUUCAAGACUAAUUCGCCCACCAUCACCACCACCGUGUACGGUGGUGACUAAAGUCCUGCAAUCGCAUCAGGGUCCAACCGUAGAUGGAGUCAGAAUUUGUGGAUCUUGUUAUAGCUCGGAUAAUGUCGAUGAUUUUAUCGAAUUUGCAAUUCAAAAGAAAGUUCAAAGGCUUGAGAUAGACAAAUCGAAAGAAAAAGACACCAAGUCUUGGGAGAAGCCUUUCAACAACCCUUUAGGUGUUUCACGCAUUAAGUCCCUUAGACACCUCUCUUUAAAGUACAUACCUAUAACUGAUGAAGUUGUUGGGCUGGUUCUAUCCGAAUGUCAACUUCUUGAACACCUCAGUAUUUGUCACUCAAGCGAUCUUUAUGCUGUGAAAGCAGUUGGUUCAUCACUCCGGUUGAAGUUCCUACAAAUAAGUUAUUGCGGUGGCAUAGUCAGAAUUGAUAUUUCUGCCCCUAAUCUUGUGUCAUUUAUAUAUCGCGGACAAAAUGUGUACAGAAGAGGAAUUGUUUUGAAACAUGCACCCAAGCUUGUCUACGUAUCUCUCUCAGAAGACGAACCUGAUAGCAUUACCAAACAUCUUCUGUCGAUAUCAGCUCGACUUUCAUACCUUCAGACUCUCCACCUGUGGAUGAAUCUGAGAAGGGUUAGACUCUCAACCUGUUAUUUACUUUAAAAUUUUCCUAGCUUCUUGUGCUUGUUGGUUGAUCAUUUUCAAGUUUUUUACGUUCCUAUCUUUCAGACAAAUGUUAUGCUCCCACAAUUUCCCGAAUUAACUAGUCUCAAAGACUUGUCGUUGACUGUACAUGCCAAAAAUUAUGGUCCAAGUCUCCUGGAUAUGACUUCCUUGUUAGAGCAAUCUCCCUUCUUGCAGAGAUUAACAUUCCAGGUAAAUUCAAUAUAUCUAUUAACGUGGUUUUUAGAAGUCAUAUGUUGAUCCUCUACUUUUCAAAUAUAUUAACGUGGUCAUCAACAUUGUAUUAUUGAUAAUUCCGUUCCUCCUAGAAAUCGCAAAAGCAUGGAAUUUAAAAUGAUGAAUUUAAUGUUCAUUUGGAAUUUUUGAACUUUUUAUCUGUUUUUUUAAUUUUGUGCAUGUAGUUGAUAUUAGGAAAUGAUUUCAUUACUUUAUAAUUAGUUACACUGAGGUAUUUAUAUAAACUAGAUUUACACAGGUAAAGAGAAUAGUUACAGUGGUAACUAUUUGUAACUAUUCUAACAACUAACUAACUUGACUAACACUAAUGUUUUACAAUGGUAACUUGCUCUUCACACCCCCUCAAGCUGAACGGAGAAGGUUGAAGUGAAAGCUUGGAUCGAAGAUGAAGAAAACGUGGCCUUGGCAGAGAUUUGGUGUGAAUAUCCGCUAAUUGAUCCGCACUGCAAACAAAUUUGACAGUAAGAAGCUUAGCCAAAACAAGCUCACGGAUGUAAUGAUAAUCGAUUUCAACAUGCUUUGUGCGAGCAUGAAAAACCGGAUUUGAAGUCAAGGCAAUUGCAGAAACAUUGUCACACCAAAUUUGUGGCAAGGAGGACAACUUGAAACCAAUAUCAGAGAAGAGUUGACAGAUCCAAGUGAUCUCAGCAGCGGUAUGUGCAAGGGAGUGGUACUCAGCUUCGGUAGAGGAUCGGGCAACUGUGUGCUGUUUCUUUGCACUCCAACUAACUAGACAAGGACCAAGAAAGAUGCAAAAGCCUCCAGUGGAACGCCUAUCCCACGAACAUCCUGCCCAGUCAGCAUCGGAGUAGGCGUUGAGAAGGAGGGGAGAUGUGGUUUUGGGAAACCAUAAGCCAAAUCCAAGUGUCCCUUUUAGAUACCGGAGGAUGCGUUUCACGGCUUGAAAGUGAGGCUCCCGGGGAGAAUGCAUGAACUGACACACCAGAUUAACCGCAAAGGAUAAAUCAGGCCGGGUCCAUGUAAGAUAUUGGAGGGCGCCAACAAUAGAGCGAUAGUCCUCGGGAUUCGACAACAAGGAACCAGUGUGAUCAAGCUUGACAGAACUAAGGGGAGUGGCACAUGGCUUUGCCCCAUCCAUUUUGGUACGCUUGAGAAGAUCCAAUAUGUAUUUGGAUUGAUGAAUAAAGGCUCCGGAGGUGGAUUUCUGAACUUCCAGACCGAGAAAGUAAUGAAGAUCGCCGAGAUCCUUGAUUGGAAAUGUAGAGCUCAACUGAGAAAUGAUGGUGUUGCAGACACUAGAAGAAGGUCCGGUCACUAUGAUAUCAUCGACAUACACAAGAACCAAAACCAAGGUAGGUUGAUGCAGCACAAACAGACUAUGAUCAGAGUGUGAAGCUUGAAAUCCCAUUGAGAAAAGAGCAGAUUGAAGUUUUUCAUACCAAGCACGAGGGGCUUGCUUUAAGCCAUAUAAGGAUUUCUUCAAGUGACAGAUAUGAGUAGGAUGAUCCUGAUCAAUGAACCCAGGUGGUUGAGCCAUAUAUACAUUCUCUUUCAAAGAACCAUGGAGAAAAGCAUUGCUUACAUCCAGCUGGUGUAAAAACCAGUUUGAUUGGACGGAAAGGGUGAGAAUGAUGCGGAUAGUCACAGGUUUAGCAACCGGGCUAAAAGUAUCACCAUAAUCAAUGCCCUCUUGCUGAUUGUAACCUUUUGCAACGAGUCGAGCCUUGUAACGAUCCACAGAACCAUCUGGUUUCCUCUUAAUCCGGAAAACCCAUUUACAGCCAACCAAAUUAUGAGUGGAGGUAGAAGGAACAAGCUGCCAAGUACCUGUACUUUGUAAAGCAUUGAAUUCAUCCUGCAUAGCAGCCCUCCACUGUGAAUGUUUGGAAGCCUGGAGAUAUGUAGUAGGUAUAAACUCACUGUCAAAAUGAGAAGGCAGAGGAUGGGUUGUGGCAGUAAGAGCCUUAGGUUUGUAUAUGCCUGACUUAGAGCGGGUUUGCAUUGGGUGAACAGAGGAAAUAGGAGGUACAGGAGGAGGGGCAGGGUGUAGAGAAGGAGAGGCUGGUAGAGGAGAAGAGGGAGGUGAGGGAGGUUGCAGAGGUGCAGGACAAGGAGCAGGAGAAUGAACUUGCUCAGUAACUGGCGCAGGUUGAGGAGGGGAGGAAGAGAUGGGUGGUGGAACACGGGAAGGGAGAGAAUUAGGAGAAUAAAGAUUGGGAAAGGUAAGGGAAAAAUGUGAGUAAGGUUCUGGGGUAUGGGGAGUGGAGGACUUUAGAAGGUGGGGAUCAUGAAAAGGAAAUGUAUGUUCAUCAAAAUGAACAUGUCUAGAGAGAUAAACCCGAUUAGUGAAGGGAUCUAGACAUCUAUACCCCUUGUGAGCUAAGCUGUAGCCAAUGAAAAUACACAUCUUGCUCUUGGGAUCUAAUUUGGAAUUGGUGUAUGGUUUUAACCAAGGAAAGCACUGACAUCCAAAUACCCGAAGAGACUUGUAAUCUGGAACUUUCUUGAAAAAUUGUUCCCAAGGGGAAGACUUGUUGACUGGAGGUAGGCGAUUGAUAAGAUAGACUGCAGUAAGAAAACCUUCAACCCAGAAUUUGUGAGGAACUUGUGAGGCAAUAAGGAGGGUUCGAGCAGUCUCAACAAUAUGUCUGUGCUUCCUUUCAGCACAACCGUUUUGCUGAGGAGUGUAAGGACAACUGAAUUGUUGCUGAAUGCCAUGGAGAGACAAAUGAUGCUUGAAGUUAGAACUUGUAAACUCACCCCCUGAGUCUGAUCGUAAAGUACCAAUUUUGUAACCAGACAGAUUUUCAACAAGAGCUUGGAAUUGCACAAAAAUUUGAAACACUUCCGAUUUAUGUUUGAGAGGAUACAGCCAAGUAUAUAUUUGGUAAAAUCAUCUACAAAUAUGACAUAAAAGCGGUAGCCACUAACAGAACAUACUGGAGCUGGCCCCCAAACAUCCGCAUGAACCAAUUCAAGAGACCUAGAAGUAGUACAGAGAGAUUCUUGAAAUGGUAACUUGGCACAUUUGCCUAAAACACAAUUGGAGCAAAAGAAUUGUUGAACAUUAUUAGAAUCAGGUAGUAUAGACUUGGAUAACAGUGAUCGAAAAGUCUUGAACGAUGGAUGACCCAAACGUUGAUGCCACACAUGAGAAGAGGUCCUUAUUGCAGAAUGAGCAUGAACCUUCGGUGCAGGUGAAGAAGAAGCAUAAAAUGGAUAGAGACCAUUGCUGACAGGAGCUCUAAAAAGCAUCCUCCCCGUAGUAAGAUCCUUGACAUGGAAGUCAAAAGGAUUGAGGGUUAAUGAACACCAAUUAUCACGCAAGAACAUAUUGGCAGAAAGAAGAUCAUGCUUCAAGUGGGGAACAUGUAACACAUUCUUUAAUGUAAAAUCUGCAGAAGGUGUUUUAAGUAAAGUAGAACCAGUAUGGAGAAUUGGCAAACCUUGGCCAUCUCCAAUGUAGACUUUAUCUAGACCAGUAUAGGGCUGUGGAUUCUGAAGAUGAUGAAUAUUAUUGGUCAUAUGGGAGCUUGCGCCGGAAUCCAGUAGCCAUGGUGGUGGAGAAGAAGUACUAGAAGAUGCGUACAUCGCAAGUUUGGCGGGCGGGAACACGGCCUUGAAAAGUUGGAUUCAUGCGGUGGGAACAGUCAAUGGCAGCAAGAUGGCCAGUGUCCUCACAAAUUUGACACGGAAUGACUGCAGAAGUGAAAGAACGGAAGCCACGAUUUCCACCUCGAUUUCCACCACGAUUAGUUGAGAAAUUAGUAAACCGAUUGGAACGAUUACGGUUGUUGUAGGGCCUUUGAGAAGUGUUCCGCUGAAAAUUACCGCGAUUAUUGCCAGGGUAAGAAUGCUGAGAAACCAUUAGACUGAGCAUUGUAGGCCUGAUGUGGUGGAGGUGUAGGAAGCAAAGGAGGAGCAUUGGAAGCUGCUGGAAUAGAGGUGAAUGCCUGAUACGGUUCAGAGGAACCCUGAGAUUGCUUGCGACGAGCAAGAGCCAUUUCUUUGCUGAGAAGAAAUCCAUGGAGAUCAUCAACAGUAGUAUCAGCAAGACGAAAUUGAAUUGAAUCCACGAAGGAAUCAUAGUCAUCAGGCAAGCCAUUUAAGAAUGAGGUGAAGGAGAUCCGACUCCUCAACAGGGGCACCACCAAACACCGGCAGCAGCGAGAGCAUCAGAAACUUCUUUGAUUCGUUGCAAAUAUUCAGAUAUUGUGGAAGUGCCUUUCGACAUCAAUUGCAAAUUCGAUCGCAACUGAUGAAUGUGAGAACGAGAGACUCCACCGAAUCGCUUCUCAAGAUUUUGCCAAAGUUCACGGGAGGAUUGAACACCAACAGUAAAGGGAAUCAAAUCCUCAGAAAGAGUGGAAUUAAUCCAAAUGAGGAUGUUUUGAUCCUUUUCAUACCAGAUCUCGAAGGCUGGAUUCGGAAUCGAGGACAAAUUUCCAGAAAGAUCAGCAAGAAAUUGAGGCGGUGGCGGUUCAGAUCCAUCAACCACGCCGCUGAGCUUGUAGCGGCGGAAGAUCGGUUCGAACAAAGAACGCCAAACAAGGUAAUUAUGACGCUUGAGUUUUGUUUGAAUCAUACUCCCAAUGUUUUGGAUCGUGAUGGAGUUGAGUGAAGCUUGAAAGGAGGAGUUAGGGUUCAUCUGAGAAGGAUUGAGAUGUGGAGGCAGCGAAGAGGAAGGAUCCGCGAUCGCCGGAGAAGGAGGAUGCGCAGCCACAGGAGAGGAAGAAUUCGAAGAAUUUGCCGCCAUUGAUGAACAAGAUCGAAGAUCUGCAGACGGAAGCUAUGGUGUUUGGUAGGUAAGAAAAUAAGCAAGAAAAUAGUAGAAAGAGGAUCGAAGUCGGUGGACUUAAGCGAGUGAUACCAUAUUAGGAAAUGAUUUCAUUACUUUAUAAUUAGUUACACUGAGGUAUUUAUAUAAACUAGAUUUACACAGGUAAAGAGAAUAGUUACAGUGGUAACUAUUUGUAACUAUUCUAACAACUAACUAACUUGACUAACACUAAUGUUUUACAAUGGUAACUUGCUCUUCAGUUGAGAUUAGUGUUCAUUGAACAACCGAGUGGAAAUUACAAGCAACAGGAAAGCGUAUUUUUACCACUUGUGAUUUUUUUUUCAUUACCGCAUGAAACUUCUACUUGUUUUGAACUUUUGAUACGAGCGAUAGUGGGAAGGAGAAACCAAACUCGAGACCUCGGGUUUGAGGGUGGAUACUCCUAACCAACUAAACUACAAGUCAUUUUCUCAAACUUCUGUGUGUUGAAGUAACUUGUCAUGAGAAGAUUAAUAUGAAUGUGGUAUGCUCCUCUUACAGUUACAAUGGGGAUAUGUUCGCGAGGGUUAUACGAGAAAUAUGCAGGAGAUUAAAAGAUGUCCUCAUCAAUGCCUUAAGGUGGUGAGAUUUUCUGGGUUCAUUGGGAUGGGCGGGUCAAUUAUCGAUACGGAGUUUGCCAUGUAUCUGGUGGAAAAUGCUGUGGUACUUGAAAAGUUUAUCAUAGAACUUGAAAAGGUCGAAUUAGCUUAUAUACUGCCAGAGUUUGCUACAACGGAGGAGAAAUUAGAAGCAACAAAGGAGCAUGCUUUGCAGCUAAUUGGAACACAAUUACCACCAGGAGCUGAGUUGUUUAUCAUAUAAGUCCUUUCAUUUAUCUGUUUUUGCAGCAUACUUGAAGCUUUUUUUUAGUCUGCAACAUUUGUAUAAUUCGCAGUUUGCAAGUUUGCAGUUACUGAUCAUGUAAUGUUUUAAGGGUAUCAAUGGAUUAGUUUUGAGUUGGGUAUGACCUUGGUUUCUUGAUGUCGGUUUUCCCAUAUUUAUUUUAUAAUUUUGACAUUUUUCUGAAGAGUGCUGCUAGAUUUACCUAAAUAACACAAGUGUCACAGCAAAGAUGAGAUAUAACCCAUGUUGACGAGUUGAGGGGAGACUGACUUGUUUAUCAAGUCGUUUGACUUUUCCACUUUGCAGCAACUACAACUAUGGUCAAGCAGGCAAGGACUCGGAAAGGAUCUGAUAAACAACCCGGAUCUAGUGCCCACGGACCCGGUUGUAUCAUUGUCUUGGAUGGCUCCACAGGAAAACAAGCCAUCAAGCCAUGAUGUCAUCAGUGGUAGGUCCAUCUAGGCAGACAGAUCAGCGGGUCGGAUUCCCGGGUAUGGAGUGAUCACCAACAUCAUCAACGGAGGGCUUGAAUGGGGCAAGGCUCAGGAUGCUAGGGUUGCUAGUCGGAUCGGGUUCUACAGAAGGUACUGUCAGAUUUUGGAAGUGAGUCCGGGGGAUAACUUGGAUUGUUACAAUCAAAGGUCUUCUGCCUAAAAAAAUAUGCUAAAGUUUAGUCUUGGAGAUGUUGUCAUAAGACAAUAAUCCCAUCCUAUGUACUAAAUGAAAUGCAAUGAUCCUAUGUAAUAAAGAAAUUUCUCGUUUACACUAUAAGUUAGUUGUCUUAGUUGUGAUACGAGGAUGAGAGAAUCGAACACAAAAACUUAGUUGAUGUUGUUGUUGCAAUGAUAAAUCACUUAAUAUUAUACUACUACUAAGAAACUUACUUUGUUUAUAAAGUUAUAGGCGGAAUCAUGUGCGCCUUGUUUAUAAAGUUACAGUUGAUGGUACCUUGCAAUUACCUUAAAUUCCUUUUCACUAAAUAGAAAUGAGCAUUAGUUGGAGAUGACAUAUAUAAAUUGAUAGGCAUAAUUGACGGAAAAAACAAUGUAUGGCCUUGUAAAAACAUUGUAAAGCUCCAACUAAGCUCCUAAACAUUGUGGGAUCAGUCAAUGGAGUACCUUCAUCCUUAAGUACUUGUGUGUGGGGUUUACAAGGAGUAAGACAUGGUUUACAAGAUUCCUUUCCAGCCUUUUUCAACAAAUCAUUCAUAUACUUUGACUGAGAAAUGAAGAUAUUACUAUUACUAGUGUUGUUUUAGUUUGAUGUUAUUGUAGAUGUGAACUUUUUUACAUAAUGUAGAGCUAAAAAUAGGUCCAAAAUUUCUGGAGGCGACACGUGGACUUUUAGCGAAAAAAAGACAAGACUGCCCUUAUUAAGCUUAGCAUCCUAAGACAUGCAUUUAGCAGACUACGACUGCUUAGAGCUCCACUGCACGUGGAAAAUGUCAAAGGUAUUUCAUGAUAAGAUUAUCCUUAAAUCCUAGCAUUAAUAUAGUCUUGAUUGAAUUCUAUCAAGUAAGUAAUCCCAAUUAUAUUUAAUUAGGGAUAAUUACCUUUAAUUCCAAGAUAUUAUUUACACAAUAUCCAGGGAAUAUUCUCACCAAAUCCUACCCUAAUGGUCGGCCAUCUCAUUUGUAAAUACCCCAUUUCUCCACAAAAAAUGGGUAAGGUUUUCUAUAUACAGAAAACCUUAAACAUUCACUCUUUUCAGGGAAACUAACUCAGGGCUUGUUUGGAUGUGCUUUUAAAAUGACUGAAAGCGUUUUUAGAGAAAAUGCUUUUGGAUUUCAAAAGCACUUUGAGUGCUUUUUCAGGAUUUACUUGCAUUUUUACUAUGGAUUGGUUCUAAAAACAUUUUCACCAAAAGCAUCCAAUCAUUUUAAAAGCACAUCCAAACAAGCUCUUAGGUCUUGGAAAUCUGUUCCCCUCCCCCCCCCCCCCAAAAAAAAUCAUGGGUGAGUGAGGUCUUUGAUUUUUUUAUCAAAUGUGUUGAUUGUUUUGCAGGUGCAUUUUCAUCAAAACUGAAAAUAGCGGAAAUUUGCAUUGACACAUAUAAUUUGAAGAUGCUCUUAUCCUACUGAUCAUAUAAUGUUAAAGGUCUUUGUUUUCAUAUUUAUUUUAGAAUUUUAAAUAUUUUCUUACAUGUCUUAUUUUUCUCACAUGUCCUCCCUUAAUGAAAAUUCUCACAACAAAAUUUAUCUAAAGUGGAUCAAAAUUUUGAAUGAAUAGGUGAGAAUAACAACCAUUCUCUUUGAAUAUCUAAAUAUCAAAAAUGCUACUCUUGUCAUAUUUUUAUAUCAUAUUUGUGCUCUUAUUUAAUAGAGAUAGAACGCACUUAUAUUGGUGUGUCACAUAAAGGAGAUAAACAAGAGGAAAAGUGCUUAUAAAGGAAAAACAAGUGGGAGAGUGCAAAAUAACUAUUUUUGGGCAAUAAUAACGUCCUUAGUUAUAUGUUAAAUCAAUUUUGUAAUUAUGCAUUAUUUUUUCCGUCUCAUUGUGUCUCGGUUUAAAUUCUCUCUGGUAAUGAUUAGUGUAUAUCAAUUAUAAUAAUUAAAUUAAAAUAAUUUAUUAUGUAUAGAUGAUAUUUAAGGGUGACUUUUUUGUUUUGGUACAAACGAUAUUAUCGUCACUAAGAAAAAUGGAGGUUAGCCUCAUAAUGAGCUAGCAAUAUAAUGGUUCAAAUUCAUCAUUGACGAGAAUCGAAUCUAAAAUCUCUUACUUAUAAAUGAAGAUAAAUAUUAUUUUACGAUAAUCAAAAGAGAGACUCGCAGGUACAAAGACAACUAUAAAGAGGAAGGUAUCUAGCUUUAUGUUUCCUCCAUGUCUCUUUUUUGUACAUUUUAACUUCUCUAGUAAGCUCGAGUAUCCAUUUUCCAACCCCAACACUCUCCCCACAUUUCCGGCUGUCCACGUUGGCCAAUCAUCACCUGAGCCACUCCCAACCCUCACCGCGGUGCCCACCCCUCCACCACCACCACCUCCUUCUCCUCUCUCCGAUCUCCUCGAAAACCAGUUACGAAAUCCUAAAAACAAGUAAGUUCCCUUCUUCCUCGCUCUCUUUCUGAUUUAACAUUAUCUAGCUUAUUUGAUAUCAUCCAUGAAUUUAUAUUUUAUCGCCUUUGAAAUCGACGAAUAUUAAGUAAUUUAGUUACAUUCAUCGUUUUUGAAAAUUCUAAAAAUUAGUUUCAAAUCGAUCAUUAAGUAAUUUAGCUGCUAAACUGACUAGCUAGUAGCUAGCAUGAGACUCUAGGCUCUGGCAUACUUACUGACAGGUUCUUUGUAAAUUUUUCUAACUUGCCUCAGAAUCUGCAGCUUAUCUGACUAAAUUGUUCCAGUAUUAAGUUCAAUAGUUAGCAAAUCGAAGAAGGUUCGAUGGAAAUUCCAACUGCAUCAACAUAUGAUAAAAAACAAGAUAAAACUCCGAUGAAUUUGGGUGAUAAGGGAGAAACAAGUAAUCCGUUGGAGGAUCGGAUUAGUCAACUGCCCGACGCGGUUCUGGUUGACAUCAUUUCCCCGUUGAGGAUUAAGGAAGUAGCAAGGACUAGUGUCCUCUCUAAGAGGUGGAGAUAUU
rnacentral:lncRNA from 1 species